rnacentral:rRNA from 1 species
UACAGAGGUCCCAAGCGUUGUUCGGAUUCACUGGGCGUAAAGGGUGCGUAGGUGGCGGGGUAAGUCUGAUGUGAAAUCUCCAAGCUUAACUUGGAAAUGGCAUUGGAAACUACUCUGCUCGAGGGUUGGAGGGGGGACUGGAAUACUUGGUGUAGCAGUGAAAUGCGUAGAUAUCAAGUGGAACACCAGUGGCGAAGGCGAGUCCCUGGACAACACCUGACACUGAGGCACGAAAGCUAGGGGAGCAAACAGG